CCUUCCAAAACUCUUCUAUUUUCAAGCUAUUCACACUAAAGCACUUCUAAAUUCUAUUAAAACUCUACGAUGGGAGGUCAUCCACUGAAUUUGAAGUAGAGCCGCAUGCUGUCAAAAGAAGAAUGGAAUUUUACUAAUUACAAGUUUAAAGCAAAAAGUUAACCAAGAACAUAUCAAUUAAGCCUUGUUACAAUGUAAACUAUGUAAUUCAUGCUAGUUUUAUGAAUUUUAGUUAGGUAAUGUCUUGUAAUUGUUGUGAAUUGAUUGUGUUUGGGUUGUGAGUUGCUAAGGAGAUCUUAUGUAGGUAGAAUGGAGUUAUAAGGGAGGAAAAUUUUGGGCUUAACCCUCC
rnacentral:lncRNA from 1 species